rnacentral:lncRNA from 1 species
AUAUCGGUUUAACAUAUUUGAGAAUACAAGACUAUACACAAUGCCAUCCUGGUUCAGAUCAAUGGGCCGAUACAGCCCCGUAUCCUGUCUCUGCGGAAGACAACCUGAUGCUUGAAGGAGAAACGGGAUCGUCAUCCUCAUCCCCGGCAUUCUGGAGAUGGUCGAUUUUGGGUCCAGAAAAGAAAUGAGCAUGAAACACCCUUGCUUACACAUGUGUGCUGUUUCACUUGAACGGAACCGACGCUCCCAUCCAAGAAAGCGGCCGCCUCAGGGCCCAGUCACUGAGAGCCGGUCUAUUUCCGUGCUGACUUUGCACUCCACCAGCAACCUUUGAGGACGAGUAAUUAUUUUCCGCGAAUCAGGAUCUCCGGAUAAAUGAGAGCAAGCCUGAGCAUCAUUUCACGUUUCCAAGACGGCUGUCGAGCUGUUCGUUCGGAGUGGAAGUUUUCCAAAUUGGCUAUGCUAGAGUGCAUAGCAGCUUCCUGUGUCUGAUCAAACUUCCAAUCUCUUGGUCAACUGAGGUGUGUAAUGAUCUUCCUUCUGUGUCACGUCAACGGUACUUUGCCUUUAGGAGUCAAGGGCUGAAAUGCCAACCCUGAAAUCCCUCUCCCUUCAUCACCUGUGCUCUCCCAUCUGUACUUAUAAGCACUUGAUAUUCACCCCACGGCACUUAUUUACGUCUCAGUAAUUUAUUUUCAUGGCUGUCGCCCCUUUAGACUUCAAGCUCCUGAGGGCAGGGAAGUGUCUGUCAACUCUGCUGUACUGUACUCUCCCCA